AUUAGAAAUAAGCACUUGAGAAGGAUCCUUCAGACUGCACUGUUAGAAAAAGACUCAAGGAAUUGACAUCAGUGGCAAGGAGAUGCCUAGAAGGAUGGAGAUUUAGUAUCAGAAUCUAUUUGCAGCAUGCAGUUACGAUACUUUUUGAUUGCAAGUUUUGUCUCCUACCAUAAUAUUGAAGCUGCUCCUAUGAGUAGAAUGGAUAAAUUGGACAGGGUUUUCAACAAGGAUGAAGUGGUUAGUGGUGGGCAAGACAAAUAAUGACAAAAUGUUAUCAUAGCUCAGUAUGCUCUCAAGCUCCUCUUGAUGCUGUCAUGUAAAAUCAAGUAAUAUCUGGACAUUAAUUAAUGAAUAUUUUCAGGAAUUGGUAAUUUUUUGCUUUGAAUUUUUUAGUUUUUAAAAUUCUUUCUUGACUUUGAGUAUUUAUUUCUUAGCAUCCUUCACCCUCCUUUUCCUCCCCUUCUUCUUCUCACUAAACUAUCAUGGAAAGAAUUCUUUAUGUUACCAAUGCUUUCUGAUGAGAGAAUACUAGUCCUUGUUGAGGGUCAGAGACAGACUAAUAAUCUCCUCUAAAUAAUUUAAAGAUAGGUAUAUUCUGCUGAUCAUUAAUGUACACUUUGUAGCUUAUACUGUUUGGGGUGAUGAAGCAUAUAAAAAUCAAUAUAUACAAGCAGUUAAUUACUA
rnacentral:lncRNA from 1 species